rnacentral:lncRNA from 1 species
UUAAACCGCCGAGCAGUACAGGGCGAGGAGUAGGCACCUGGCGUUGGCGCUGGGCGGAUUUGCGGUUCGAGGGAAACCGCCGAGCGGUAGACCCCUACCGUCGGGCGGUGGUGCGAUUGUGGCAAACCGCCGGGCGGCACACUUAAAUCGCCCGACGGUGGCUCGUUGGACUUGGGCCCGUUUUCUAAUGCGCUCCUUACCUAUUUAU